CAGAGCUGGUGUGUGCAUUAAAGAGAAAGGAUAUUGAUAGGAUUCGAGUCUAGACCUGCACUCUGUGGAUGAUACCUCGAGAAUCAGAUGCUGACACCAAAGUUCGCCAUUGGAGGAUCCAGAAAUAAACACCUUUCACCUGGCAUCACUUACAAGACAGCUGAGAAAGAACACAGUUACAGAUGUGCUGACACAGCUAUUUUUCUGAGGAAGGUUUUCCAAUCUUGUGUCAGGUCCAGUGUCGAGAAUGAAUGGCGAGAGGACAAGUGAAAAUCUAAGUACUCAGUGAGACCGAGCAUUGAAGGCUGAGAAGUAAGGGGCUGGCAGUUGAUAACAAGCUGAUUUCUGAAAGCUCAACCUGGGGUGUGGAAGAGGAGCUAAAAACGAACCAGUUGUGAAGCCUCAGAUCCCUUCUGCAUCACCUCUUUAGGACUCAACUGCCCUCUUUGCAAAAGUUGGGAAUUCACAAGCAUCACAACAGACCUUUGAAGAUAGAGUGGGCAAGAGCCAGUCCCCUGGGAUUCAGGAUUUGUUCAUUUAAUAAAUAUUUUCCAUCUCAUAUAUGCCA
rnacentral:lncRNA from 1 species